rnacentral:tRNA from 1 species
CGUUUGGAAGCUGACAGGCCACAGCACUAGCCUUUUAAGCUAAAACUUGGUGAUUGCCGACCACCCCUAGCGAC